CUCGCGGUGGACGGCAUGGUGCUGCGCCCGGUGCUCGGCUCGCCGAUCGUGCGUCACGUCGACGCGCUGGUGCGUCCCGACCUGCGCGCGCAGGCC
rnacentral:tRNA from 1 species